GACGUAGGGGGCGAGCGUUGUCCGGAAUUACUGGGCGUAAAGAGCACGUAGGCGGAUGCUUAAGUCAGGUGUGAAAGACCGCAGCUCAACUGCGGGGUGGCACUUGAAACUGGACAUCUUGAGGGCAGGAGAGGAAAGCAGAAUUCCUGGUGUAGCGGUGAAAUGCGUAGAAAUCAGGAGGAAUACCGGUGGCGAAGGCGGCUUUCUGGACUGACCCUGACGCUGAGGUGCGAAAGCGUGGGUAGCAAACAGGAUUAGAUACCCUGGUAGUCCACGCUGUAAACGAUGGAUACUAGGUGUGGGAGGUAUCGACCCCUUCCGUGCCGCAGCUAACGCAAUAAGUAUCCCGCCUGGGGAGUACGGUCGCAAGGCUGAA
rnacentral:rRNA from 1 species